rnacentral:rRNA from 1 species
AAACCAGCACCUCAAGUGGUCAGGAUGAUUAUUGGGCCUAAAGCAUCCGUAGCCUGUUCUGUAAGUUUCCGGUUAAAUCCAUUAGCUCAACUAAUGGGCUGCCGAAAAUACUGCAAAACUAGGGAGUGGGAGAGGUAGACGGUACUCGGUAGGAAGGGGUAAAAUCCUUUGAUCUAGUGAUGACCACCUGUGGCGAAGGCGGUCUACCAGAACACGUUCGACGGUGAGGGAUGAAAGCUGGGGGAGCAAACCGGAGUAGAAACCCCAGUAGUCC